rnacentral:rRNA from 1 species
UAGUCCACGCCCUAAACGAUGGAUACUAGUCGUCGGAUUUCCUAAUAGAUUCGGUGACGUAGCUAACGCAUUAAGUAUCCCGCCUGGGGAUUACGAUCGCAAGAUUAAAACUCAAAGGAAUUGACGGGGGCCCGCACAAGCGGUGGAGCAUGUGGUUUAAUUCGAUGCUACGCGAGGAACCUUACCAGGGCUUAAAUGUAGAUUGACAGGUUUAGAGAUAGACUUUUCUUCGGACAAUUUACAAGGUGCUGCAUGGUUGUCGUCAGCUCGUGCCGUGAGGUGUCAGGUUAAGUCCUAUAACGAGCGCAACCCCUGUUGUUAGUUGCCAGCGAGUAGUGUCGGGAACUCUAACAAGACUGCCGGUGCAAACCGUGAGGAAGGUGGGGAUGACGUCAAAUCAUCACGGCCCUUACGUCCUGGGCUACACACGUGCUACAAUGGUAGGGACAGAGAGCAGCCACUGGGCGACCAGGAGCGAAUCUAUAAACCCUAUCACAGUUCGGAUCGGAGUCUGCAA